UGCCCAACAGCUAGCCCACCCCAAUAAAACCAACACCACCUUAUUUAUACCCCCUAAUAUACUCCAACCUAAAAACAAAUCAUUUUUCCCCCCAAGUACGGGCGACCGAAAAGGAACUAAGAGCAAUAGAGAAAGUACCGCAAGGGAAAGCUGAAAGAGAAAUGAAACAACCCAGUAAAGCCCUAAAAAGCAGAGACACACCCUCGUACCUUUUGCAUCAUGAUUUAGCCAGUACCCCUCAAGCAAAAAGAAUUUUAGUUUGAUACCCCGAAACUAGGUGAGCUACUCCAAGACAGCCUAAUUAAUAGGGCACCCCCGUCUCUGUGGCAAAAGAGUGGGAAGAGCUUUGAGUAGAGGUGACAGACCUACCGAACCUAGUUAUAGCUGGUUGCCUGUAAAUUGGAUAUAAGUUCAGCCUCACAAGUUCUUCCCUCAACCUGUCUGUUUUCAGCCUGUCCCUGAGACCAAGAGAAAUUUUGAGAGUUAGUCAAAGGGGGCACAGCCCCUUUGAAUUAAGACACAACUUUCCCAGGAGGAUAAAGAUCAUAAUCACUACAAGGCAAUGCGCUACGGUGGGCCUAAGAGCAGCCAUCCCCCUAGAAAGCGUUAAAGCUCUCGCGCAAUUAAACUCCCUUUAAUUCUGAUAACAAAUCUUAAACCCCUAAACCUACCAGGCCAUCCCAUGCUCCCAUGGGAGUGAUUAUGCUAAUAUGAGUAAUAAGAGAGUAUCCGCCUCUCUCCCCGCACAUGUGUAAGUCGGAAAGGACAUCCCACCGAACCUUAACGGCCCCAAUUGAAGAGGGUAUUGAGACAUUAAACCAAACAACAAGAAAAACACCCACCACCUCACCGUUAACCCCACACUGGUGUGCUCACAAGGAAAGACUAAGAGAAAAAGAAGGAACUCGGCAAAAAUGCACUUCGAGCCUCGCCUGUUUACCAAAAACAUCGCCUCUUGAAACACAACUAUAAGAGGUCCCGCCUGCCCGGUGACCACGUGUUUAACGGCCGCGGUACUUUGACCGUGCGAAGGUAGCGCAAUCACUUGUCUUUUAAAUGGAGACCUGUAUGAAUGGCAUGACGAGGGCUCAACUGUCUCCUUUUUCUAGUCAAUGAAAUUGAUCUUCCCGUGCAGAAGCGGGAAUAACCCCAUAAGACGAGAAGACCCUGUGGAGCUUUAGACACUAAGCCAGACCAUGUUAAUCACCCCUAACCCAAAGGUUAAACAUAAUGAACUACCUGUGCUCAUGUCUUUGGUUGGGGCGACCUCGGAGAAACACAAAACCUCCAAGUGGAAUAGGAGUAUUACUCUCCCAAAAACAAGAGCCACAGCUCAAACUAACAGAACUUCUGACCAAUUAAACAGAUCCGGCUUACAAUGCCGAUCAACGGACAGAGUUACCCCAGGGAUAACAGCGCAAUCCCCUUCUAGAGCCCAUAUCGACAAGGGGGUUUACGACCUCGAUGUUGGAUCAGGACAUCCUAUUGGUGCAGCCGCUAUUAAGGGUUCGUUUGUUCAACGAUUAAUAGUCCUACGUGAUCUGAGUUCAGACCGGAGUAAUCCAGGUCAGUUUCUAUCUAUGACAUGAUCUUCUUUAGUACGAAAGGACCGAGAAGAAGAGGCCAAUACUUCAGGUACGCCUCACCCCCACCUAAUGAAACCAACUAAAAUAGGUAAUAGGGCAUACCCCCCCCCCGCUUAAGAAAAUAGCAAGCAAUGAAAUUCACCCCAGUAAAUUCAAGAGACCGUGUUCUCUAGUAUAGAGGUGUAAACCCUCUCAUUGCCAACCUUACCACCCCUAACAGUCUUUAACCUAUGC
rnacentral:rRNA from 1 species